AGUGAACGCUGGCGGUAGGCCUAACACAUGCAAGUCGAACGGCAGCACAGUAAGCGCUUGCUCUUACGGGUGGCGAGUGGCGGACGGGUGAGGAGUACAUCGGAAUCUACUUUUUCGUGGGGGAUAACGUAGGGAAAGUUACGCUAAUACCGCAUACGACCUACGGGUGAAAGCAGGGGAGCUUCGGACCUUGCGCGAUUGAAUGAGCCGAUGUCGGAUUAGCUAGUUGGCGGGGUAAAGGCCCACCAAGGCGACGAUCCGUAGCUGGUCUGAGAGGAUGAUCAGCCACACUGGAACUGAGACACGGUCCAGACUCCUACGGGAGGCAGCAGUAGGGAAUAUUGGACAAUGGGCGCAAGCCUGAUCCAGCCAUACCGCGUGGGUGAAGAAGGCCUUCGGGUUGUAAAGCCCUUUUGUUGGGAAAGAAAAGCAGCAGGUUAAUACCCCGCUGUUCUGACGGUACCCAAAGAAUAAGCACCGGCUAACUUCGUG
rnacentral:rRNA from 1 species